rnacentral:rRNA from 1 species
CCGGGCGACGGUUGUCCCGGUUUAAGCGUGUAGGUGUGUGUUCCAGGUAAAUCCGGUUCACUUUAACACUGAGGCGUGAUGACGAGGCACUACGGUGCUGAAGCAACAAAUGCCCUGCUUCCAGGAAAAGCCUCUAAGCAUCAGGUAACAUCAAAUCGUACCCCAAACCGACACAGGUGGUCAGGUAGAGAAUACCAAGGCGCUUGAGAGAACUCGGGUGAAGGAACUAGGCAAAAUGGUGCCGUAACUUCGGGAGAAGGCACGCUGACACGUAGGUGAAGUGAUUUACUCAUGGAGCUGAAGUCAGUCGAAGAUACCAGCUGGCUGCAACUGUUUAUUAAAAACACAGCACUGUGCAAACACGAAAGUGGACGUAUACGGUGUGACGCCUGCCCGGUGCCGGAAGGUUAAUUGAUGGGGUCAGCGCAAGCGAAGCUCCUGAUCGAAGCCCCGGUAAACGGCGGCCGUAACUAUAACGGUCCUAAGGUAGCGAAAUUCCUUGUCGGGUAAGUUCCGACCUGCACGAAUGGCGUAAUGAUGGCCAGGCUGUCUCCACCCGAGACUCAGUGAAAUUGAACUCGCUGUGAAGAUGCAGUGUACCCGCGGCAAGACGGAAAGACCCCGUGAACCUUUACUAUAGCUUGACACUGAACAUUGAGCCUUGAUGUGUAGGAUAGGUGGGAGGCUUUGAAGUGUGGACGCCAGUCUGCAUGGAGCCGACCUUGAAAUACCACCCUUUAAUGUUUGAUGUUCUAACGUGGACCCGUGAUCCGGGUUGCGGACAGUGUCUGGUGGGUAGUUUGACUGGGGCGGUCUCCUCCUAAAGAGUAACGGAGGAGCACGAAGGUUGGCUAAUCCUGGUCGGACAUCAGGAGGUUAGUGCAAUGGCAUAAGCCAGCUUGACUGCGAGCGUGACGGCGCGAGCAGGUGCGAAAGCAGGUCAUAGUGAUCCGGUGGUUCUGAAUGGAAGGGCCAUCGCUCAACGGAUAAAAGGUACUCCGGGGAUAACAGGCUGAUACCGCCCAAGAGUUCAUAUCGACGGCGGUGUUUGGCACCUCGAUGUCGGCUCAUCACAUCCUGGGGCUGAAGUAGGUCCCAAGGGUAUGGCUGUUCGCCAUUUAAAGUGGUACGCGAGCUGGGUUUAGAACGUCGUGAGACAGUUCGGUCCCUAUCUGCCGUGGGCGCUGGAGAACUGAGGGGGGCUGCUCCUAGUACGAGAGGACCGGAGUGGACGCAUCACUGGUGUUCGGGUUGUCAUGCCAAUGGCACUGCCCGGUAGCUAAAUGCGGAAGAGAUAAGUGCUGAAAGCAUCUAAGCACGAAACUUGCCCCGAGAUGAGUUCUCCCUGAGACUUUAGGUCUCCUGAAGGAACGUUGAAGACGACGACGUUGAUAGGCCGGGUGUGUAAGCGCAGCGAUGCGUUGAGCUAACCGGUACUAAUGAACCGUGAGGCUUAACCUUACA